AGUGAACGCUGGCGGCAGGCCUAACACAUGCAAGUCGAACGGCAGCACAAGAGAGCUUGCUCUCUGGGUGGCGAGUGGCGGACGGGUGAGGAAUGCAUCGGAAUCUGCCCAUUUGUGGGGGAUAACCUCGGGAAACCGGGACUAAUACCGCAUACGACCUACGGGUGAAAGCAGGGGAUCUUCGGACCUUGCGCAGAUGGAUGAGCCGAUGCCGGAUUAGCUAGUUGGAGGGGUAAAGGCCCACCAAGGCGACGAUCCGUAGCUGGUCUGAGAGGAUGAUCAGCCCCACUGGGACUGAGACACGGCCCAGACUCCUACGGGAGGCAGCAGUGGGGAAUAUUGGACAAUGGGCGCAAGCCUGAUCCAGCCAUGCCGCGUGUGUGAAGAAGGCCUUCGGGUUGUAAAGCACUUUUGUUGGGAAAGAAAAGCAGCCGGUUAAUACCCGGUUGUCAUGACGGUACCCAAAGAAUAAGCACCGGCUAACUUCGUG
rnacentral:rRNA from 1 species